UAAGUUGGUAGUGAAAUCGUGUGGCUCAACCAUACACCCAUUACCAAAACUGCUCAGCUUGAAGACAAGAGAGGCACCUGGAAUUCUCAGUGUAGGAGUGAAAUCCGUAGAUAUUGGGAGGAACACCGAUGGCGUAGGCAGGGUACUGGCUUGUUCUUGACACUAAGGCACGAAAGCGUGGGGAGCGAACGGGAUUAGAUACCCCGGUAGUCCACGCCGUAAACUAUGGAUGCUA
rnacentral:rRNA from 1 species